AUCGCCUGGGAAUCUCCUAACAUCGUUUAACAAAUGACAAAUAACCAGGGCAAGGGACACGACUGCAUUCCCCUUUAACCAACCAGGGUCAUUGGGUAGCUGGAAUAUCACCUGGGAGAGAAAGAUAACUGGGAUGCACGAAACGAAACGAAAUGUAAAAUACACUCCAGUGUGCUUGCCGGGACAAAUCCCCAGGAGAAGAAAAUGUAUAGUGCAGAGACUUGGAAGCCAUGAAAGGAGUUAUUAGCCAGCUGGGCAAAGGGAGUGACAUUUGGUUGAGGCAGGGUGUGGGCACAGCUCUCCAGGCAAUCUGGCUUACGUCUUCCCUACUAUUUGGCAAACUCAUAUACCCUUCCUUCUUCUUCACUCCCCCUCAUAUCUGAAGUCGUCAUCUCGGGGCAAGAUGAUUUAGUAUACAUUUCGCAUAAUGUGACUUAGGUAGCUUUCCAAGCAAGACAGACCCCCUGGAAAAGAGCUCCAGGUCAAGAAGCAGUUUCGUGUGUCCGCUCUGGCUCAGACCUGGUCUGAUGGACCUCAACCAUGUCUAGCGUCCUUGUGUCCCUAAAACCUUCCUUUGUACUUUGAGGUGAGCCAGAAUCAAAUUGCAACCUCUUUAGAUAGGGGAGAGUUGAGAACAUGAGACGCAGGCUUCAUUUUCCUCGCAGAGCCAAGGAGCUCUCAAGGCCCGCACAGAAGAAAAGCCUCCAGCCACCUUCUCUGUUUACUGCAUCUAUUUAGGGGAAGGUCAGGGUUUCCUCACCCUGAUAAAGGAUGGAGAACACAGCGCUUGUUCCCAGGCGACUCUUGUGUUUUUAGCUUUCUUUGUUCUCAGGUGUCUGACCUGCUUUUGUCAGGCUAAAGUUCAGGAGCCAUCUGUAAGGCGUUCUUCAGGGUAACAAGGACAAAGAUGAGAUCCAUGUGCCCACUCAGGCGCACAGAUAAAUCCAGCCUAUUUCUUAGCACGACCCACCUACCCACCCCAUCCUAUGUCAGCCUUGUGAUUUGCCUUCCACUUUUGUCAGGACCAUGAGUCAGGGAUGCUAGGAGGGCAGUGAGGUUAGCUGUGAUGAGGUUAGUGACACUAGCCUUUGGAGGUGGUGAAGGCAUGCUUACAUCCAUUCCAUUCCGUUUCCUAUGCUGUUUGCAUUCCGGGCAUUAUUAUCAUGAAAACGGAUUUGCGUGUGCCAUUUCCUGUUCUCUUUACACUUUGUAUCAUGAGAAGAAGGUACCAGGUUUAAACACAACGCAUUAAAACUGUCUGCAGUAACUCUUUGUAGUGUGACUCUUCACACACGGUGUUGUUUCUGUCCAAAAAGUAAAGGCAAUGGCCUCUAGGAUUAUAAAUGAUGCUGUGCUAUGUGGCUUGGGGUUAGGAUGGAAACUGACUAUGCCUUCCCUCUAUGUCCUACCCCACCUUCCACAACUCUCCUGCGAUGCUGCGAGUUGCAUCUGCACAUAUCCGAAUCCACUUCCUAUGCCCACUUUUGUGAACAGCCCCAAUGACAUUCCAUGUGACAGUCAGACUGUAUCAGAGAAGAGGCAAGGCUGAGCCACUUCCAAUUAUCAUCAAAGAAUUUCUCCACCAUUUACUGUGCUGAGACUGGAGGGUGUUGAUACAGGUGAGAUCAAAAAUAGAACAUGGUAUAAUAAGAACCUAUGCUCCCUGCAGUGCGUAAAAUCAGAAUAGCUAAUGACACAACCCUUUCAAGUUCUUCUUUUUGAAAGGUGGGUUUAGCUCUCUAGAAAGCUGCUGAGUUGACAGCUCAGAGUCCUAUGGAGGGAAAACUGCUAAGCUAUUUCCUUGCUUCCCCAAGCAUACCUUCAGCUUGCCCUGGAGGGCUGUCUCAAGAUAAGACAGGUUAGUUCUUCCUCCGAGGUCUUUUAGUCUUUGAGUGCAGGAAUAGGUGUGUUAUCCAAGCUGAUUAUGAGGAAUAUUUCAAGAUGGAGUUACAGUGUUGCAGCACACAUCAAGGCUGAAAUUGACAGAACACUUCAUACAGGUGCCUGCAAAAGCACUCAGCAAGAGUCAGUUGGAAACCAUGCAUGUCUUCUUAUAAGCAGACUCAUCAGAUCUGCAAGUGAGUUUUGCAGCACACAGUUCAUGGGGGAAGUUCUAAGAGCUUGGCUUUCAGUGCAUUAUAAAGUUAAACACUCACUUCCUAACCUGUACUUGAUUAUGAAGUCCCAGUCAUUGCUAACACUGUUGCUGAUGUACCUGUCUUUCAUGAGCUCAGCGGAGCUCAGAGCAAUGCGGCUGAGAGGGGGGAACUCUCGACAUCAAUCAUGGGUAGAGAAUAUGGAGGCAGCCAGGCUUUCAGGACAUGACUUAGCUGAUACUGGGAUACUUUGUUCUACAGAUCUAUUAAAAUAUGUUCAAGAGUUCUCAAAGUCUAUGUGAUUUGGUUGUGAGCUUCUAAAUGUAUUCUUCUNNNNNNNNNNNNNNNNNNNNNNNNNNNNNNNNNNNNNNNNNNNCUCACUCUCUGUCUGUCUGUCUUUUUCCCUCUUCCUUUGCUAUUCUCAUGUGAAUUGAGCAUAUUCUGUCUCUGACUCAUGCUGUCAAAUGUUUCUCUGAUUUGCUGCUUUGUCUGCCCCUCAAUUAGAUAUCACUUUCAAACAUGGUUGUUUCCUUCUAUGAACUAACCACAGAUUCAUUGUUAGGGAUUAAAGGUAUGUACUAAGGGUAUGUCUGUAUUCCAGCCAGAUAAUACUGUAAUCUAGCACAUAUCUGGACUGAUCAUAUCUUUGGAUGUGAUCCCUUGCCAUGAGCAGCCAUGUUUCUGGAUUAGAGUUCCUCUACAUACGACCCAUGUUCAGGUACCAGCACACAUGCGGUGCCUCAUGAUCAUACACAACUCCAUUUCCAGGGGACUAGAUAUACAUGUACUAUAUUCAUAAAUAUAGGCAUGCAAAUAUACUUCGACU
rnacentral:lncRNA from 1 species